UUAGGUUAAGUUAUAAAGGGCGCAUGGUGAAUGCCUUGGUACUAGGAGCCGAUGAAGGACGGGACUAACACCGAUAUGCUUCGGGGAGCGGUAAGUACGCUUUGAUCCGGAGAUUUCCGAAUGGGGUAACCCAAUCAGCUUAGUCGCUGAUUACUUGACUAGUGAAUACAUAGCUAGCAAGAGGUAGACGCAGUGAACUGAAACAUCUUAGUAGCUGCAGGAAGAGAAAGAAACAUCGAUUCCCUGAGUAGCGGCGAGCGAAAAGGGAAGAGCCCAAACCAACAAGCUUGCUUGUUGGGGUUGUAGGACUGAACAUUAGAGUUACCAAAGUGCGACGUAGUCGCAACAGUUGGGAAGCUGUGCCAUAGAGGGUGAAAGCCCCGUAGACGAAACGUCACACUCUCUGUUCAGGAUCCUGAGUACGGCGGGACACGUGAAACCCCGUCGGAACCCGCGAGGACCAUCUCGCAAGGCUAAAUACUCCCUAGUGACCGAUAGUGAACCAGUACCGUGAGGGAAAGGUGAAAAGCACCCCGGAAGGGGAGUGAAAUAGUUCCUGAAACCAUGUGCCUACAAGCUGUCGGAGCCCGUUAAUGGGUGACGGCGUGCCUCUUGCAGAAUGAACCGGCGAGUUACGAUUGCAUGCAAGGUUAAGGUGGAAAAACCGGAGCCGUAGCGAAAGCGAGUCUUAAAUGGGCGUAAGAAGUAUGUAGUUGUAGACCCGAAACCAGG
rnacentral:rRNA from 2 species